rnacentral:rRNA from 1 species
GACGAACGCUGGCGGCGUGCUUAACACAUGCAAGUCGAACGGAAAGGCCCUGCUUUUGUGGGGUGCUCGAGUGGCGAACGGGUGAGUAACACGUGAGUAACCUGCCCUUGACUUUGGGAUAACUUCAGGAAACUGGGGCUAAUACCGGAUAGGAGCUCCUGCUGCAUGGUGGGGGUUGGAAAGUUUCGGCGGUUGGGGAUGGACUCGCGGCUUAUCAGCUUGUUGGUGGGGUAGUGGCUUACCAAGGCUUUGACGGGUAGCCGGCCUGAGAGGGUGACCGGCCACCUUGGGACUGAGAUACGGCCCAGACUCCUACGGGAGGCAGCAGUGGGGAAUAUUGCACAAUGGGCGGAAGCCUGAUGCAGCAACGCCGCGUGCGGGAUGACGGCCUUCGGGUUGUAAACCGCUUUCGCCUGUGACGAAGCGUGAGUGACGGUAAUGGGUACAGAAGCCCCGGCUAACUACGUG